CCUACGGGAGGCAGCAGUGGGGAAUAUUGCGCAAUGGGCGAAAGCCUGACGCAGCGACGCCGCGUGAGGGCUGAAGGUCUUCGGAUCGUAAACCUCUGUCAGCAGGGAAGAACGGUCACUGUGCUAAUCAGCAGUGAAUUGACGGUACCUGCAAAGUAAGCACCGGCUAACUCCGUGCCAGCAGCCGCGGUAAUACGGAGGGUGCGAGCGUUAAUCGGAAUUACUGGGCGUAAAGCGCUCGUAGUCGGUAUGUCAAGUCAAGGGGGAAAUCCCCGCGCUCAACGUGGGAACUGCCUUUGAAACUGGCAAACUGGAGUGUGUGAGAGGAUAGUGGAAUUCCAGGUGUAGGAGUGAAAUCCGUAGAGAUCUGGAGGAACAUCAGUGGCGAAGGCGACUAUCUGGCACAUAACUGACGCUGAGGAGCGAAAGCGUGGGUAGCAAACAGGAUUAGAUACCCAGUAGUC
rnacentral:rRNA from 1 species